AUAUCAAUAAGCGGAGGAAAAGAAACCAACCGGGAUUGCCCUAGUAACGGCGAGUGAAGCGGCAACAGCUCAAAUUUGAAAUCUGGCCUCUGGCCCGAAUUGUAAUUGGCAGAGGAUGCAUCGGGGGCGGCCCUGUUCCAAGUCCACUGGAACGUGGCGUCCUAGAGGGUGAGAAUCCCGUACGCGAGCGGUGUCCGCUCCCAUGUGAUGCUCCUUCGACGAGUCGAGUUGUUUGGGAAUGCAGCUCUAAAUGGGUGGUAUAUUUCAUCUAAAGCUAAAUACCGGCCAGAGACCGAUAGCGAACAAGUAGAGUGAUCGAAAGAUGAAAAGCACUUUGGAAAGAGAGUUAAACAGUACGUGAAAUUGUUGAAAGGGAAGCGCUUGCAGCCAGACUCGCCCGGGGUGCUCAGCCGUCCUUCGGGGCGGUGCACUCGCCCCCGGGCGGGCCAGCAUCGGUUCGGGCGGCCGGAUAAAGGCCUCGGAAACGUGGCUCCCUACGGGGAGUGUUAUAGUCCGGGGUGUAAUGCGGCCAGCCUGGACCGAGGACCGCGCUUCGGCAAGGAUGCUGGCGUAAUGGCUGUCAGCGA
rnacentral:rRNA from 1 species